UACAGAGGUCUCAAGCGUUGUUCGGAUUCAUUGGGCGUAAAGGGUGCGUAGGUGGCGGGGUUAGUCAGGUGUGAAAUCUCGGGGGCUCAACCCCGAACUAGCACUUGUAUACUGCCGUUCGUCGUAGAGGUACUUCGGUAGGAGGAGGAUUGGUAAGUUUAACGGUUGGUAGCAGUGAAAUAGCGUAGAUAUCGUAAGGAAGACCACGUGGCGAA
rnacentral:rRNA from 1 species